rnacentral:rRNA from 1 species
GUGGGGCAGCAGGUUUGUAGCAAUACAGAUGCUGGCGACCGGCAAACGGGUGCGUAACACUACGCAACCUUCCCGUCUGGGGAUAGCCAGGGAACUUGGAUWAUACCCCAUAUUAUAUUGAUCAAGGCAUCUGGUUAAUAUCAAAGCUUCGGCGGUACGGAUGGCGUCGGCUGUUAGGUAGUUGCGGGGUAACGCCCACCAAGCCUACGAUAGUAGCUGAUGUGAGAGCAUGAUCAGCCACACGGCACUGAGAMCGGGCCCGACUCCUACGGGAGGAGCAGUAAGGAAUAUUGGUCAAUGGCGAAAGUCUGAACCAGCCAUGCCGCGUGGAGGAUGAAGGUCCUCUGGWUGUAAACUUCUUUUCUCUGGGCGAAAAAAGCCUUUUCUAGGGCACUUGACAGUACCAGAGGAAUAAGCACCGCUACUCCGUGCAGCAGCCGCSGUAUACGGAGGUGGCAACGUUAUCCGGAUCACUGGGUUUAAAGGGUG